GUCAGAGUGGUGAGAGUGGCCCUAUUAGUUCAAUAUAUAAGAAAUAAAUUGAAAUACUAGGGCACAUUCACCACAGGCAAGAGGGUGAAAAAGAUCACUAAAUAUCCAUAAACUCAGUGCGCAUGGUUUAUUCAAGGACCUUGCGAUGACAGGGAUUCCAAUGGUUAGAUUGUCUUGCAAAACAUCAUGAAAGCUCGUUGUGUACCAAUCUCCAUGAAGCUUUACGAGGAGUUCAUG
rnacentral:lncRNA from 1 species